CCUACGGGUGGCAGCAGUCGAGAAUCUUUCACAAUGGGGGAAACCCUGAUGGAGCGACGCCGCGUGGAGGAUAAGGUCUUCGGAUUGUAAACUCCUGUCAUGCGAGAACAAAGCCUCACGGCCUGAUAGUAUCGCAAGAGGAAGAGACGGCUAACUCUGUGCCAGCAGCCGCGGUAAUACAGAGGUCUCAAGCGUUGUUCGGAAUCACUGGGCGUAAAGGGUGCGUAGGCUGCGUGGAAAGUCAGAUGUGAAAUCCGGAGGCUCAACCUCCGAAUAGCAUCCGAUACUCCCAUGCUAGAGGGUUGUAGAGGAGCUUGGAAUUCUCGGUGUAGCAGUGAAAUGCGUAGAUAUCGAGAAGAACGCUCGCGGCGAAGGCGAAGCUCUGGGCAACAUCUGACGCUGAUGCACGAAGGCUAGGGGAGCAAACGGGAUUAGAUACCCGAGUAGUC
rnacentral:rRNA from 1 species